GAUGAACGCUGGCGGCGUGCCUAAUACAUGCAAGUCGAGCGAACAGACGAGGAGCUUGCUCCUCUGACGUUAGCGGCGGACGGGUGAGUAACACGUGGAUAACCUACCUAUAAGACUGGGAUAACUUCGGGAAACCGGAGCUAAUACCGGAUAAUAUGUUGAAUCGCAUGGUUCAACAGUGAAAGACGGUCUUGCUGUCACUUAUAGAUGGAUCCGCGCCGCAUUAGCUAGUUGGUAAGGUAACGGCUUACCAAGGCAACGAUGCGUAGCCGACCUGAGAGGGUGAUCGGCCACACUGGAACUGAGACACGGUCCAGACUCCUACGGGAGGCAGCAGUAGGGAAUCUUCCGCAAUGGGCGAAAGCCUGACGGAGCAACGCCGCGUGAGUGAAGAAGGUCCUCGGAUCGUAAAACUCUGUUAUUAGGGAAGAACAAAUGUGUAAGUAACUAUGCACGUCUUGACGGUACCUAAUCAGAAAGCCACGGCUAACUACGUG
rnacentral:rRNA from 1 species